rnacentral:rRNA from 1 species
GCCAGCAGUCAUAUCACUCUGCAACUCACAACUGGCGGUCCAUUGAAGCUAAGCAGGUGUGAGCCUGGUCAAUACCUGGAUGGGAGAACUCCUGGGAAAAACUAAGGUUGCUGCUGGAA